rnacentral:rRNA from 1 species
UUCUCGGCUGCGGCAAGUUGGAUGCUUGACGAGCGGCGGAAGGGCUAAGUAACGCAUAGGAAUCUACCCGGUAGUGGGGGAUAACCUGGGGAAACCCAGGCUAAUACCGCAUACGUCCUACGGGAGAAAGGGGGCUUAGGCUCCCGCUAUUGGAUGAGCCUAUGCCGGAUUAGCUGGUUGGUGAGGUAAUGGCUCACCAAGGCGACGAUCCGUAGCUGGUCUGAGAGGAUGAUCAGCCACAUCGGGACUGAGACACGGCCCGAACUCCUACGGGAGGCAGCAGUGGGGAAUAUUGGACAAUGGGGGCAACCCUGAUCCAGCCAUGCCGCGUGUGUGAAGAAGGCCCUCGGGUUGUAAAGCACUUUCAGCGAGGAAGAACGCCUGUCGGUUAAUACCCGGCAGGAAAGACAUCACUCGCAGAAGAAGCACCGGCUAACUCCGUGCCAGCAGCCGCGGGUAAU